rnacentral:rRNA from 1 species
UACGAAGGUGGCGAGCGUUGUUCGGAAUCACUGGGCUUAAAGCGCGCGCAGGCGGGUCAUCAAGCGUCUUGUGAAAGCCCUCGGCUCAACCGAGGAAUUGCAGGGCGAACUGGUGGUCUUGAGGUAGGUAGGGGCGAGUGGAACUCUUGGUGGAGCGGUGGAAUGCGUAGAUAUCAAGAGGAACGCCAGAGGCGAAGGCGACUCGCUGGGCCUGUCCUGACGCUGAGGCGCGAAAGCCAGGGGAGCAAACGGGAUUAGAUACCCCUGUA